GAUGAACGCUAGCGAUAGGCUUAACACAUGCAAGUCGAGGGGCAGCAUGGUCUUAGCUUGCUAAGGCUGAUGGCGACCGGCGCGCGGGUGCGUAACGCGUAUGCAACUUGCCUCACAGAGGGGGAUAACCCGUCGAAAGACGGACUAAUACCGCGUACACUCUAUGUUGGGCAUCCAAUGUAGAGGAAAUGAAAUUCGCUGUGAGAUAGGCAUGCGUCCCAUUAGCUAGUUGGUGAGGUAACGGCUCACCAAGGCGACGAUGGGUAGGGGAACUGAGAGGUUGAACCCCCACACUGGUACUGAGACACGGACCAGACUCCUACGGGAGGCAGCAGUGAGGAAUAUUGGUCAAUGGGCGAGAGCCUGAACCAGCCAAGUCGCGUGAAGGAUGACUGUCUUAUGGAUUGUAAACUUCUUUUAUACGGGAAUAACAAGAGUCACGUGUGGCUCCCUGCAUGUACCGUAUGAAUAAGCAUCGGCUAACUCCGUG
rnacentral:rRNA from 1 species